UUCCGGUUGAUCCUGCCGGAGGUCACUGCUAUUGGGGUCCGACUAAGCCAUGCGAGUCAAUAGUUCUUCGUGAACUAGGCGGACGGCUCAGUAACACGUGGGUAAUCUACCCUCAGGACAGGGAUAACCCCGGGAAACUGGGGAUAAUACCUGAUAGGUGGAGAGGUCUGGAAUGAUCCUCCGCCCAAAGCUCCGGCGCCUGAGGAUGAGCCUGCGGCCGAUUAGGUUGUUGGCGGUGUAACGGACCACCAAGCCUGAGAUCGGUACGGGCACUGAGAGGUGGAGCCCGGAGAUGGGGGCUGAGAAACGGCCCCAGGCCCUACGGGGCGCAGCAGGCGCGAAAACUCCGCAAUACGCGAAAGCGUGACGGGGGGACCCCAAGUGUCAUGCCUUCGGGUAUGACUUUUGCAGAGUGUAAACAGCUCUGCGAAUAAGAGCUGGGUAAGACCGGUGCCAGCCGCCGCGGUAACACCGGCAGCUCAAGUGGUGGCCACUAUUAUUGGGCCUAAAGCGUCCGUAGCCUGCUCGGUAAGUCCUUGGGAAAAUCCGCUCGUUCCACGAACGGGACCCUGAGGAUACUGCCGAACUUGGGAACGAGAGAAGU
rnacentral:rRNA from 1 species